CCGCCCAGCAGCAACGGCCUUCUAAGCCGUAGGUCACACGUUCGAAUCGUGUAGGGCGGGCCA
rnacentral:tRNA from 7 species